CAGCCGCCGCGGGAAUACGAAGGGUGCAAGCGUUACUCGGAAUUACUGGGCGUAAAGCGCACGCAGGCGGUCUGACAAGUCAGAUGUGAAAUCCCCGGGCUUAACCUGGGAACUGCAUUUGAAACUGUCAGGCUGGAGUCUUGUAGAGGGGGGUAGAAUUCCAGGUGUAGCGGUGAAAUGCGUAGAGAUCUGGAGGAAUACCGGUGGCGAAGGCGGCCCCCUGGACAAAGACUGACGCUCAGGUGCGAAAGCGUGGGGAGCAAACAGGAUUAGAUACCCCUGUAGUCCCUGUCUCUUAUAC
rnacentral:rRNA from 1 species